rnacentral:rRNA from 1 species
GACGAACGCUGGCGGCGUGCUUAACACAUGCAAGUCGAACGGAAAGGCCCUGCUUUUGUGGGGUGCUCGAGUGGCGAACGGGUGAGUAACACGUGAGUAACCUGCCCUUGACUUUGGGAUAACUUCAGGAAACUGGGGCUAAUGCCGGAUAGGAGCUCCUGCUGCAUGGUGGGGGUUGGAAAGUUUCGGCGGUUGGGGAUGGACUCGCGGCUUAUCAGCUUGUUGGUGGGGUAGUGGCUUACCAAGGCUUUGACGGGUAGCCGGCCUGAGAGGGUGACCGGCCACAUUGGGACUGAGAUACGGCCCAGACUCCUACGGGAGGCAGCAGUGGGGAAUAUUGCACAAUGGGCGGAAGCCUGAUGCAGCAACGCCGCGUGCGGGAUGACGGCCUUCGGGUUGUAAACCGCUUUCGCCUGCGACGAAGCGUGAGUGACGGUAAUGGGUAAAGAAGCACCGGCUAACUACGUG